GAAACCACAAAUCAAACGAAGUGCCCUGCAAAGUGUCGCAAACAUGUCCUUCAGUUUGUCGACGUUGAUCGAUAUAGCCCUAGACGAAAAUGCCACUGCAGUUGAGCUCCUUUGCCUCGUACUAUGUUUCUCUGUCUUCUGG
rnacentral:ribozyme from 1 species